AGAAAAUAUCAAAUAUGGGAAAGCGGGACGAUAGACCAAACAUAUCUACGAAGAGACCGUUGGUGCCGGAAAUAUCUCUGUCUUUAGUAGUGUCCGCGAGGUAUAUUAAUUUAUAAAACAUGAGAUAUUAGUACCAUAUUGCCCGGGAAUCAAAAGAUUUUUGCAAGAUCGCAGAAUUCAGCUAGACACACAAAAAAAAAGACAAUCACUACAGCCUUCCAAGAAGAUGGACUGCCUCACAAUAGUUUCCUUGAGGACUGUCUUGAAAUAUCCAGAGUUUAAGAUUCAAGAAACGGACUCUAUCUGGAAAAGGAAAACAAUAUCAAAGCUCCUCUGUGAGAAGUUGGCCAAGGAAAGCAUUCAGAAGAAAGUGGAGAUUCAUUGUUUUUACCAGAUCCAGCAGAUCACAGAAAGCAUCUAGUAGGGGAGUUUCCAGGAUUAAGCCAGCCAGUAGAUGAGACUAUUAUAUCAAAAAUACAUUUACUUGUACACGAGGGCACACAAAGCGUUGAUGAAACAAAAAGACAUUUCCGUCUGUUUGUAAAGGAUACUAUUUCACCAGGGAACACCAUAUCAGAAUUUAACAGAUGCUUUUACCCCGCCAAUAAGGAUGUAAGAAAUCACAUUUACAGGGCACCGAGAUUUUGCCAGGUAGUUUAGAACUGUGUGCAUUGGUUUUGGAAGAAUUUGGGCUGUUUAGGCUAAAAUCCAUUAUGAUUGGACAGAAUAUGAACACACACAUCCAAUACUUCAAAGAUAUUAUGUUUGUGGAGGCAGAGAUUUUGAUUGCAUCCACUGUUUAGAAUACAUCCUUAAGGGAAGCAGACUGCCGCCUUUACCCAAUGAUAUAAUGAUUAAUCAUAACUAUAUCUGUUUUGUACCAAAUAGAAAGAGCAUUGAUUCAGGUCAUUUUCAAAUCCACUGGCAUACAUUGUACUAUACAUGCAACCUUUUCAAACUUUACAUUUAAGAUUUUAUAAAGGAAAUAUCUUAAUGUUUCACAUGUUUACCUUUCACUGUGCUAUGUAAUUCAUUAUACCUGCCAUUAUGCCAGUCUUCCUGAACAUAAUUUGUUUUCUGCAAUUUCAUUGGCCAAGAGGCUUAAUCCUGGGUUAUCAGAUUGAGCAUUUAUAUUUAGUAUCCCAUUGAUUUUGUCAGCCCAAUAUAAGGAGCUGACUCAGAUUUACUCACUCUGCUAGGUUAAAGAACUCUAAGGUUUGUACUUUUCACAUGAAUUUCGUGUUCGCCUCUUAUCUUUUACAUAGAGUAGGAAAUGAACAUAACAUUGAGUUAGGGAACUAUUUAGAUUUUACAUUAUAAUAUGUAAAUACCUUAGCAGAGUCAAUUUACUUGGUUCAGGGUAGUAUCAGAUAUUACUUUUUCAGAGUUUAAGUGUUUAGGCUAUCUCAAUGUUUCUAUAGUUAGCCUUGUCCUAUGUUACUUUUAGAUGUAUGGAAGCCUUUUAGUGUUAUAACACUAUAUUUAUGCCCCCAUUCAAAGAAGAGGGACAUAUUGGUUUGCACCUGUUGGUCGGUCGGUAGACCACAUGUUGUCCGCUUAAUAUCUUAAGAACCAUUCACUUGAUCGUAAUAUAUUUCAUAUGUGGGUUGGUUAUGAAAAGAAGAGGACCCCAAUUGUUUUUCAGGUCGAAAUGUCAAGGGUCAAUCUACUCUGGACAUAGGAAGACACUGCCUGCUCAAUAUCUUGAGAACCCUUUGCUUGACAGACAUCAAACUUGGUACACUGGUACAUCUCAAGGAGUAGAUUUAAGGUCAUAUGGUCAAAGGUCAAGGGGUAAACUGGACAUAGUAAUAUAUUGUCUCUUAUGUUUUAAGAAAUAUUUGCUUGAUUGACACCAAACCUGGUACAGCAUAAGGAGUAGAUGACCCCUAUUGAUUUUUAGGUCACUUGGUCAAUCCACUCCUGACAUAGGAAGAUAUUGUUUGCUCAAUAUUUCGAAUUGAUGAUACUACUAUCAAUCAAAUUAUGCAUAUGUAUAACGCUUUUCAAUUUUGCACCAUGGGGGCUUAUAUGUAAUUGUUUUACAAACACCUCAUGUUUUAUAGUUUGUGAAAGCUUGUUAGGGUCAUAACUUUAGAUUUUCUUAUUAUGGUACUUGCCCGUCAGAGACUGGACAUAUUAUGGUAUGGUGUUGUCUGUCCGGACCUUGUAAGAUGGGAUACAGACUGAACCGUAAGCUCUAGAAUCUUACAACUUGGUACAUUUGAUCACCAUAAAAGGAAGAUGCUUAUUGUUUUUUAAGGUCAAGGUUGUAGGUUCACUUAAUAGGAAAACCUUGUUCGAGAAAAUUACAGAUUCUUGAACUGAGUAUUUUGAGGAAACAUUACAUAGAAAGUACAUGAUUUGUCAAAUUUCUCCCAAUAUUCAACUGAGAACCUUAUUCUGCAGAGUAUUUGUAUGGGUAUGGAAAAUGUGUAUGUGGCUAUGAUUUUGAUUUUUGUUAAAAAUUUUGUUGUUGAAAAUUACAGGUUUAACCGAGUCAGUUUUUGAGGAAAUAUACAUGUAUUAAAUAAAUGACGGUUUGACCUUUUAACUCCUCUCACAGUUUUGAAGCUAGGGUCUUUGUAAAUAACUUCUUUGGUGUUUUAGAAUAUUUACAGAUUGUUGAUCAUGGUCAAUUUUGGGGAAAUAUUUUCCGCAGAGCUCUAGUUGUCUAUCUACCGGCCUCCUGUCACUUUUAAGUUUAGGAGCUUUUAUUCAUGGAAAGAAAGUAUGUGACAACCUGAUGAUGGCUGAUACUAUUUAAAGCCUUUUUAUACGCCCGUCUUAAGAUGGGACGUAUUAUGGUAUGGCGUUCAUGUCCGUCCGUCUGUUAGCUUUUUCGUGUCCGACCCGUAACUUAAAUACUACAAGGCCUAGAAUCGUCAAACUUUGUCUGUAGAUACAUCUUGGGUAGAAGGUGUGUCGCACAUUAAAACCAGGUCACUGUGACUUUUCAUUAAGAAGAUAUCCGUCUGUCCGUCCGUCUGUUAGCUUUUUCGUGUCCGACCCGUAACUUAAAUACUACAAGGCCUAGAAUCAUCAAACUUUGUAGAUACAUCUUGGGUAGAAGGUGUGUCACACAUUAAAACCAGGUCACUGUGACUUUUCAUUAGGAAGAUAUCCGUCUGUCCGUCCGUCUGUUAGCUUUUUCGUGUCCGACCCGUAACUUAAAUACUACAAGGCCUAGAAUCAUCAAACUUUGUCUGUAGAUACAUCUUGGGUAGAAGGUGUGUCGCACAUUAAAACCAGGUCACUGUGACUUUUCAUUAGGAAGAUAUGGCCAUAUAUGGCAAAAACUUGUCCGACUCAUAACUUGAAAACUAUUAGACCUAGAAUCACCAAAAUUGGUCAACUAAUGCAUCUUAGGUAGAAGGUGUGUCGCAUCCUACUUUAAGGUCACUGUGACAUUUAAUUAAGGUGAUAUAAAAAAAAAUGUUUUAAUGGGUACAAUCUAUACUGUUAACAAUAUGUGACGGGCAUAUCAUGUGCCAUGGCGGUGCACUUUAUUUUAGAAAUGGCAUCAGAAAAACACCCUAUGUAACCUUUUCUGCUUGUACUCAUUUAUUUUUAUUGGAAAACUUAUUACUUGUUAUCAGCUACUCUAAAACAAUAUUGACUUGUGCUAUAAUAAAUUUGUAAACUUUACAAGUCUUUUCAUUUCAAACAAGGUGUUGAACAAGUUGUUGAACAUCAUCUGGGAUUCACAACCAAACAGGUACAACAUGGAAACAGUGUGUUCCAUGAUUUCUGUAGUGUAACAAGUCCAGCUGAUCCCAAGUACACUGUACUAUUGACAACGAUUGUUUUUGAUAAGCACAAUAGAAGUUCUACUUUGGGAGAAGCUAUAAUUAUUUUAGUCCUAGCAUACACUGCUUCCUGUUAGAGUUAGGGUGCUGUAUAACUUGGUACCUCUUUGAGAUAAAAUGCUUUAUCAUCAAAUCAUAAAGCAUCUUCCCUCUAACAGAUACCAGAUUAUAAAGCACCCUCCCUCUAACAGGUACCAGAUUCUAUAAAGUACCUUCCCUCUAACAGGUACCAACUUACAAAGCACACUUCCUCCAACAUGUACCAGAUUAUAAAAUAUCCUCCAUUUAUAAUCUGGUACCUGUUAGAGGGAGGUUGCCUUAUAAGAUGGUACCUUUUAGAGGGAGAGUGCUUUAUUAGUUGGUACCUGUUAGAGGGAGAGUGCUUUAUAAUCUGGUACCUGUUAGAGGGAGGUUGCCUUAUAAGUUGGUACCUGUUAGAAGGAGAGUGCUUUAUUAGUUGGUACCUGUUAGAGGGAGAGUGCUUUAUUAGUUGGUACCUGUUAGAGGGAGAGUGCUUUAUAAUCUGGUACCUGUUAGAGGGAGGUUGCCUUAUAAGUUGGUACCUGUUAGAGGGAGAGUGCUUUAUUAGUUGGUACCUGUUAGAGGGAGAGUGCUUUAUAAUCUGGUACCUGUUAGAGGGAGAGUGCUUUAUUAGUUGGUACCUGUUAGAGGGAGAGUGCUUUAUAAUCUGGUACCUGUUAGAGGGAGAGUGCUUUAUUAGUUGGUACCUGUUAGAGGGAGAGUGCUUUAUAAUCUGGUACCUGUUAGAGGGAGAGUGCUUUAUAAGUUGGUACCUGUUACAGGGAGGUUGCCUUAUAAGUUGGUACCUGUUAGAAGGAGAGUGCUUUAUUAGUUGGUACCUGUUAGAGGGAGAGUGUCUUAUAAGUUGGUACCUGUUAGAGAGAGAGUGCUUUAUAAUCUGGUACCUGUUAGAGGGAGAGUGCUUUAUUAGUUGGUACCUGUUAGAGGGAGAGUGCUUUAUAAUCUGGUACCUGUUAGAGGGAGGUUGCCUUAUAAGUUGGUACCUGUUAGAGGGAGAGUGCUUUAUUAGUUGGUACCUGUUAGAGGGAGAGUGCUUUAUAAUCCGGUACCUGUUAGAGGAAGAGUGCUUUAUUAGUUGGUACCUGUUACAGGGAGGUUGCCUUAUAAGUUGGUACCUGUUAGAGGGAGAGUGCUUUAUUAGUUGGUACCUGUUAGAGGGAGAGUGCUUUAUUAUUUGGUACCUGUUAGAGGGAGAGUGCUUUAUAAUCUGGUACCUGUUGGAGGGAGGUUGCCUUAUAAGUUGGUACCUGUUAGAGGGAGAGUGCUUUAUUAGUUGGUACCUGUUAGAGGGAGAGUGCUUUAUAAUCUGGUACCUGAUAGAGGGAGAGUGCUUUAUAAGUUGGUACCUGUUAGAGGGAGAGUGCUUUAUUAGUUGGUACCUGUUAGAGGGAGAGUGCUUUAUAAUCUGGUACCUGAUAGAGGGAGAGUGCUUUAUAAGUUGGUACCUGUUACAGGGAGGUUGCCUUAUAAGUUGGUACCUGUUAGAGGGAGAGUGCUUUAUUAGUUGGUACCUGUUAGAGGGAGAGUGUCUUAUACGUUGGUACCUGUUAGAGGGAGAGUGCUUUAUUAGUUGGUACCUGUUAGAGGGAGGUUGCUUUAUAAUCUGGUACCUGUUAGAGGGAGAGUGCUUUAUAAGCUGGUACCUGUUAAGAGGGAGAGUGCUUUAUAAUCUGGUACCUGUUACAGGGAGGUUGCCUUAUAAGUUGGUAUCAGUUUUCAAACAACAAAUAUGUAAAAGUCUUGAUAUCCUCUAUGGAAAAUAACAUUUCAAGUUGAUUUAAAGUGUACACAUUGUUAAUUGUAAUUAAGCGUAUUUCAUAUCAAUGUGCUGUCACAACAUUCCGUGAAAUUAUGAAUACUACGACGUUCUAAUGGUGUAUCAAGAUUUUAAAAUAUUCUGCCCGAAAUUUGUACAUCAAUGAUUUAGAAAUAUCAGUCUAAUACUUUGGGGAGGGUGUGAUGCUAAUACAUCCAUCAUAACACACGGUACCUAAUAUGCAUUAAAAAAUAUAUAUAUGUUUAUGCAUAGAAUUACCAUUUUUCUCAAUUCACUGCAACAGUGUAUCAUUCUUGUUAACAAUGUAGAUUAUUAAUAUUUGUCAGGGUUUUUUGAUACUUGCUUAUGUAAUAUAUGUCUCUUGAUUUAGACGCGGGUUGUGUCGAAAAUCUGAGUUUUAAAUAAUCAACAGUGUUGUGCUUCUCAUUUUUAGAACCGAUUGAUUUGAAUAUGAUUGAAAGUAUUCAUGUUUCCUACGUAAUUGAUAAUAAAUAUACAUGUGUUUGCCAACCACAAUGGAGCUCCAACAUGACCUAUUUUACCUAAUAUUGGUCUAUCAAGAAAUAAGUAUAAAAGAAUUGACACACGACGAUUAUUCGUACGAAUCAUUGUGAAUUAUAAAUUGGCACGAGGGAUAACUCGUACCUACAUAAGAUGAGAUAACUCGUGGUCGUCACCCUGUAAGCGGUACCAGAUAGCCUUCAAGCAAUGCAAAAUGGUUGGGCAAACACGGACCCCUGGACACACCAGAGGUGGGAUCAAGUACCUAGGAGAAGUAAGCAUCCCCUGUCUAUCGGGCACACCCGCCGUGAGCCCUAUAUCCUGAUCAUCUUAAACGUUAUUUAAUUGCUUGUUGUUAUAAUUUACUUGUUUCAAAUAGACAUAUAUGUAUGAAUGAGCUGUCUUGAAUACUUAGGACACAAGACUGUCAGUCUGAUAGACAAACUAAAGGACAAUGUUCAAAUCAAGAAAUGAAUUCAACGUCACACUCAGAAAUAAGUUUGAUAUACUCGAAAACAUUGAGUUACACGACAGCACACUAUCCAAUGACGAUUAGAGGAAAAAAAUAAGUAACAUCCAUGUUGAAUCCUGUGGAAAAUGUUUAGGACACAUAAACAAAAACAAACAACCAAAAAUUGGAUAACACCUGGUGCCUGGGCAAUGAUCGAUUCAAGAAAAGAUGCCAAAACCAAAGUGAAUGAAGCAAAGUCCGAAAAUUUAAAGCAGAAACACCAAAAUAAAUACAGUAAGAUACAAAAGAAAGUUAAAAACGGAUUUAGCACGGACAAGAGAAACUACAUACAAGAUCUAGCAUCAAAAGCAGAAGAGGCAGCAAGUACAGGAGAGCAAAAAAAAAUAAAAAAUAAAUAAAGACUAAAUUUUAAAAACCCAGAACAUCUUAUUAUUGAUGAAACACACACGCACACCUGGACAGUAUCACCAAGACAGUCCUCUUCUGGACACCCGAGGGAAAACGAAAGAGAACGGCCAAAAGUCACGUGACGGAGGACAGUGGAGGCAGAAACGAAACAACUAAAGCAAGGUUAGAAGACCCUCCAGACCGACAGGAAUAGAGAACCCUCAUUGUUGCCCUACAUGUCAGGCAUAAUGGGCAGUAAGUAAGUAUUUGAGACAAAUACACAUUCAUUUCAAUUAUUGAUGAAACACACACACACAAACACACCAGAUACAGGAUCCAAAUGCUUUGCAACAUAGAGCGAUCCACAGUGAAUUACACCUUUCAUUUUAGGUACAUCCCAACUACGAUAAUGUUCUCGGUCAUUUCUUAAUUCUAUGCAAUAAUUCUUAGUCCCGACAAUCAAUUACCAGAGAGAUAUGGCUCAGUGGUAAGAACAUUCGUUUCGUGACCUGGAAAUCGUGGGUUCAACACUCGUUCGUAUCUUGGCCGCGUCAAAUUCGUCGAAUGCUCAGAAUUAAAAUAUGACAAAACAUUGAAUUCGGUCAAUCACGUCCUCUCUUCUUUGAGUCACCACACCCGAUCGGGGAUUAGUGCUCUCAUUCCAGUAAAGGACAGUAAAAGUUGCCAUGAAAUCAAACUCAUAGUAUAAGCGGAAAAACCCCUACAAGUAUAAAUCGCCCUUUUUCUCCAUGAUGGCUUGCUUUGCUGCAAUGCUCUUUAGUAAAAAGGGUGUAGAUAACAGUGAUCAAUCUCAUAACUCCUAUAAAGAAUACAAAAUAGACAGUUGGGCAAACACGGACCUCUGGCCACACCAGAGGUGGGAUCAGGUGUUUAGGAGGAGUAUACAUCCCUUGUUGACCGGCCAUGCACAACCGUCGUGUACCCUCUAUCUUGGCCAGGUAAACGGAGCACUCUGCAGUCAAAAUCUGUAGAUAAGAACGGCCUUACUUUAAAUCACCGUUACUUAUAUACUAGCAAUUAACUAUCGACAACAUUAACGUUUGAAGAGAAAAAACAUAGUUUUAACGUGAAUCCCAGACUUAAAUAACUAGAUACAACUUGCAAGCCAAAAUUUAUAUUUCUCAACAAAAAUUGUUUUACCACGUAUUCACAUAUGUCAUGCAUGGUUUAUUAACAAUCGUGAACUAUAGUGAAUGUUUUUUUCAUAUUUCUCAACAAAAAUGGUUUUUACCACGUAUUCACAUAUGUCAUGCAUGGUUUAUUAACAAUCGUGAAUGUUUUUUUAUGUUUUAAUUUUAUUACCUUCAAACCUUCAUUACAUACUUUACACUUCGUAAUCAACAGACUACUAGUGAUGAAUCUAGUUUAUCAGAAACUAAGAUAGAAAUCGGUUCCACUGAGUACUCUAAUCACAAUGUGAAACACUGCCACCCCUCCGGGCGUGAUCGAUUGUAAAUCAGUAUCGUCCAUCUCGUAGACAUAAAAUUGCAUCAUAACCCAUGUUUUUUCACUAAACACCUACAUGAAGAAGAGUUAUCUUUCUUUUAUUGCAGAGUCGCCCCGAGCUUCCUUGGCCGGUAGUAGAUUUUUCUUUCUCCAGCUGUGAACUUUUAUUUGGACAUCGAAAAAUUAGGUUUCAAACCCGUAACUCAUUAACCUACCAUUUAUUUACACAUUCACCUUUCUUUCCCAGCAAUUGUCAUUAGCAUCACGCAUUACUAUUAGAUAUGGUAAUCAACAUCCACACGCAUUAAGGAGGUAUGCUACACCGGAGAAAUUUUAUGUAGAUGAAAAGUGUAGGAUAUGUAUAAAAAUAUUUUGAAUUGGAAAAUUUUCAAAUUUACUUUAUUUUGUCAAAAAAUACAGUUUUAGUAGAAGGUAAUCUGAAAAAAAUUUAAAACCCCUACUGGACUCGAACCUGCGACAUACAGUUCAGCAGUCGGUAUUCUAACCUACUGAGCUACUCGGCUAGGUAUUUAAAUGGAAAAGGAAAAGUCAAAUAUUGCUGAUAUCGAUUUUGUCAUCCAUGUUUUUAAAGGAAGUCAGCCAUUAUGACGAUGUAGAGUACUACCUUAAGUGACGUUUAUUUCAACUUCACAUAAAAACUUAUACAGAAUUUAUAAAAGAAAAGCCCAAAAUCAAAACAAAAAUGUUAAGUUUGUGUUAUGGAGGACAUGGUUAAAUCAGCAAUUCCCAGUCACGUGAUACCGCAGUGUAGAGUAGCAUUUGUCACGAUUACUGGUAACAGGAUUCGAAAAUAUCAUCAAAAAGUCUUAAUAGAAAAUCUUCGGUUUUAUUCUCAUGAUAUUUUGAUUCACACUGAAGAUCAGCAGACAUACAUUUGCCUAAUCAUUCGAAAUAAUUUGCUAAAUUGGUACUGUAGGCAAACGUGACGCACUGCCGCACAUGCAGUAAAUAGUUCAAGACAGAUUGAUCAGUGUAGAGGCGUUUAUUCCUGAAAUAAAACUGUCCUAUCUGUGUCGGUCUCCCCCAUUCAAACGUUUUAUGUUUUUGACAACCGCCAGUCCAGAAGCUUGCCAAGAAAUUCCCCACGCUGCUAUAUAUGGCUUACAGGUGGUAUACAAUUAUUGAUUUUUUUCUUCAGGAAGAAAAAUGACUGUACAAACUUGGGUUUGAAUUGAGAGAGCAGGCCCGAGAUUACUUCCUUGAUAAUCAAAAUUAGUAGGGAAAACUUUGAAUGAACAGAAAAGUUAAGUUUGAGCACGGUUAUCGGCAGAUAUCCAUCCUUUGUUUCACUUCCUAAUAUUUUUUUUCCUGGGAUUAUAUUUACGUUUGCAUGAUAUUUUAACAAAUUGUAAUGCUAGCCAUUUCCUCAUGAAUGGGCUGAAGUUGUAAACAAUGUGCUGGGAAUCCGACAGAAAUCAAAGUACAAUGUACAUGUAGAUUUUAUAUGUUAAAAUAAAUUUAAAUUUUUUGAAAAUACUUGAGGGUAAUAUUGAACUGGAACGCCCCAAGGCUUAACGCUGGCACAACGUGCUUCGUGAACUAUGCCAGCAUGAAGCGCCGCCGUUCAUACUCUCAUGUACUUUCAAAACUGAAAUACAUUCCUUAAAUUCCCCCGAAUUGAAGUUUUGUGUAUGUCAAAGGUCGGAGAUAAGGUAAAGGUCGUUUAUCAAUGCCAUUAUGAUCACCAUUCAUUAAAGUUCUCUUCGCUUGGCACUUUGAGUUUCACAUUCUCCGUGCAGUAUUUAUGGGGUGAGGGUGGGGGUGCAAUGCCUCCAUUGUUUUACAUCCCCAUGAUACAAACUAGGCGUUCAUUCCCUAAAUCAUCGUCGGUUACCCACGGGUGAUUCUCGUUGAGCGUGUGUGGGCUCACCGUGGUUUGCGACGAUGUCCCAAUAUGUCAAUUUACAUUUUGUAAUUAAGUCCCGUCUGUAGCAUACCACAUGUCUAAAAUUACAAUCGUUACGCCUAUUUCCAUGCGUAAAAAAUAAAUAAAUAGCAAUGGUGUUCCGAUUGAGGUUUAGAACAGACAAAUCACAGGCAAUUAUAUCGCUUGGGUUCAUAUUGACUAUUUUAUGCUGUACUUUUUGUAAUUCAAGACAAUGAGCAGAUGAAAUGCACUUCAUUUUAGAAUGUAAAGCUUUUUCAGAAGUAAGUAAGAAAUUUUUAGACACGAAUUCAGCUACAGACCAAAUACUUCUGUGAAUUGAUGUCAUCUUUGAGAGUGAAAACUUUGAGAGAACUCUGUAUGUUUCUACUAAAUAUUUAUGACUCAGUCUGUCUUCCUUGAUUCUAUACAUUUUGAGUACUUGUGCCUUUGUUUCUAGUAUAAUUCAUAUUAUACCUCUGACAAAUAAACUUUUGCAAACUUAUUCAUAUACCAAUGCAUAGUUGGUUUGAGCGAAUAAACUAAAGAGUACUGUUUAAUAAUUGCCUUUGGUAAAUACAUGUAUAUAUAUCAAAUAUGCCCGAUUUGCGUUAAAAUGGUAGUUACACCUCAAUUGCUGUGCAGCAUCAUGCAUGUGUAGCAACCCACUUUAUGUUCCCGGUCGCGACUCCGUGACUAAAUUCUGACCAUCAUUCCUACAGCUCCGAUCCUUCAGUUCGCCUGUCUUUGAUGAUUAAAGUUAUUCAAAAUUAACUAUGCGGACAGCCAGAUACCCACCCCACCCCCUUCUCUUCAAGGUUCAAAAAGUAUAUAUGAAAUCCGUUUUCGGCAUUUAUCCUGCCAUUCACUUCAUACACAUUUACUAAUUUAACCCCGGACAACUGCGCAAUAAAAAUCUUUUGAUAAUAAUACUCUUCUCCAAGGGUACACAUCAUGAAACAAUCUUUUACCCGAUCUGUAUCGAAUGCCAAUUUCAUAAUGUUAGGCGUUCCCGAAUUCAUCUAUUCAAUUUCAUAUUCACAGAGGGUCAUUCACCCCAGGUUUAUGAAAUUCAAGUAUUUACAAGUCAACAACCUCUAGCAAAGCCACGGCAGCUAUGUACAGCGUGUGUUCGUCAAUAUCACAAGUAGCUCAAUAGUCUAAAUGUUUUAGGGAGUGGACCAAAAGCGACCUGUGACGGGAGUACAUAAUUUGCCAGAUCAAUAUGAUGUCUCACGAUCAGGUUCUCUAGUGUAUCGAACUGAAUUCCUUCGAUACUUCGUACAUUUCUGUAACUAUUUAUAGUGCCUCUCCUCAUCAGCCCAAAAUUCGCCCAUCACGCAGGCCUACUAAUUGACACCAUGAAGCUGCUGACGUCAGCCGACUUCUUCUUUCUUACAUUUAAGUAUGAAAAAGUAUCAUUAAAAUAUUAUUUAUUAGUAUGUGGUUGAAUAAUUCAUAGACUUGCGCAAUUUCUAAGGAAUAGUAGUAAUGUACUAGUACAUGAACCUGUAGAUCUUUCUAAGUGUGUCGCAGUUACACCUAUGAAAUUUCUGGAACAGGAUUUCGCAACUGUACUGUAACAAUUCUAACAUCGUGACCUCUUCGGCCACUAAUCCACUGCGUAGUUUAGAUAAGCAAUACACACAGGUGCGUCCAAUGCGUCGGCCAUUACCGACAGGCACUGAAAUCCACUACAUUUUGGUAUCCAUCCAGUCCGUAAAUGUCAUACUAGCCUUUUCUCUUCAAGUCAUAUAUGUAUUCAAAUUGAAUCGGUUUUCAUCAAGAUUCAACUGUAAACACGUCAUACGGAUAAACAUGUUUACGCGCAUUCUGUUUACAUGAAUAACCUUCCUAUCGGAAAUAUAAUGACCAGCGUAGGAUACUCAAGUACACGUUCUACUAAUUCUGCGCGACAUUAAUUACCUACUUACAGUGACCGUUAUCAGGUAAAUUCCUUACUUGUGCAAGCCCACCUUUUGACCUUAUUGAUCAUGCUGAUGUCGGAUGACUUUGUUUAUGAUCAAUCCCGGAAGAAGAAAAUAAAUCUAGAAAUAUUUUGUAUUCUCAACAUUUUAAUUAUAAAUGAACAUCAACAGAUUACUGAAAACGAAGCCUUUGAUGGGAAACAAAGCCUUUGUUACAACAGAUGAUAUCGCUACCUCACAUUUUGUUCACACAUCUUGACCACCGUCGUUAAACUAAAAGGAUCUAGAAUUUUUGCCCCCAGCAAACACCAAUGAAAAACAUUUCCUAGUAAAAAAUAAAUUAUAGUAAAUGCAGGGCGCAAAAAUGCCAAACCUUGCCGAGAUAAACGACAUUUGGUAGUCGUAUUACUAUUGCAUUCUUUUUUUUUCCUAUACAAAUUAAGAAUAAAUUAAACCACAAGUACACGUUGAUCUACAAGACUAUAACGUCCUUAAUUAUUAUUGCCCGUGGAAUGUGGUGUUUCAACAUACACAAGGCCCACUUACACAUUUAGCAACACACAACACAAAACCAACAUUUGUGCGUCUCAUUUGCACCGAACAUGUACCCAAGUGACUAUCACAUACGAACCACACAAAAACUGGCCUAUGUAGUUAAGAGAUCUUACUCUUGCGACUCAACACGCAAAAUUGUCCUGAUUAUGAAAGGUGAUAUCAUUCACAAUGCACAGCUACUACUGUACACAUUUGCGCAUGAUAUGAACUUGGCACAUAUCCUUUUUUCUUUUGCAGUGUUAUUUAAACAGUGUCAAUUGCAAAUAUAUGAAUCGUUUAAAGCAGAAUUGCUUCUGAAUGUUUCACAAUUCCUUCAGUCCCAUAAGCAAGCUCUCUAUGAAGCUGCAACAGUUCCACGAAAAGUUCUUCCUUGUAUUUUUUUGUUUUUAAAUAAAAAUCUUCAAUAUUGCAUUCAUAAGUUCUACCCGCUUCAAUACCAACUAGUAUUUUAAUUCCAUUCUCUUCAAAGUUUCUAAGAACUGAAUUAAACAAAGAAAUUGUCUUCUGCCUCAUGAACAACCAUGUUGGGGACCAUUUGGUCCAUGUUUUUGUGAUCAUUGAUAGUCACAAACCCUCCUGUUGAGGUGGAAUCGGUGAACCAUGGAUGUUUGAGAAUUUGAUCUGCAGAAAGACGCUCAAGUGGGUCCCUCCUCAGCAGAUUCUUAAUCAAGCAUCGUGCUUUUGGAGACAGUACAGGAGGAACUGAGAAUUGCCCUCGACGGAUUUUCCCAAAGAGUGCACUUGGGUCGGAGUCAUGAAAUGGGUAUCUUCCCACUAACAUUGUGUAUAACAUGACACCUAAGCUCCAGACAUCUGCGGAGCGACCAGAGUAAGUUUCGUUUGGGUUGAGAAUUUCGGGGCUGACGUAGGCUGGACACCCAUGUUUAUCAGUUAGUCGAUCAUCAUUGUCAUCAUCGAGAACAUAAGCAUCCUCCAAACCGUCCAGACGAAGCUCCGUCCUACAAAGAUAAUAAUAAAACAAAUAUUUAACGUCAAUCUCUGAACCUGUGCCAAGUUUUAUGUAACAUCUAGUCCCAAGUUUAUAGGAUAGGAAAAAAAUAAAUAAAUAUAGAAAUGGAUUAUUUCCUCUGAGGAAGAAUUCAUCAGCAAAAUAGACUAACAUUCCAAAACAUAAUGAUUAGUGCACUUCAAACAUUCUAUUUAAGGAGUCCUACAUCAUUGAGAAUUUCAAGUAUUUUUCAUAAUUCAGGUUGCUCACUGGGGCAAAGCACCGAUAGCAUUUAAACUUUUAUAGAGAAUGGGCAUUAUACAACUGCCGACACACAACCUACUAUGGUAACCUCAGUUCACACAUACGUCAUUCUUUACUGGCAUGCAGAGAAAAAUUUAAUCAAAGCGACAUGAAGCCAAGUGACGUCAGUUCUAAUUAGGCCAGGUACAAUGUGCUAUGAAGAUCAAAAUAUAUCAGACAACAGUAAAUUCACGUUUUUUUUUACUUUGUUCUAGUUCAGUUCCUCCCAUACUGUGUACAUGACUAUAAAACCAACACUCAACACACUAUGGUCUAAAAAUACACUGGCCCAGGGCCUUGAAGUGCAAGGAUCAUCCCAUUGACAGGCUUUUUUCAUUUCCUUUUCCACCUUGUGACAAACAUAUCAUAAAAAUCAUGCCAGCCCAGAGAUGUCUUCUCCCCUUAUGAAAUCUCAUCGACAGAAUAAAUUUACUGGCAGCAGAAAGGUGUAUUCAUUGUAUGGUAAUUUACCAAAACAGAGAACUCCUCUGUCUUCUGCAAUGACAGCGGAACCUUGGCACCUUCUCAUUUCCUUGAUGACUUAAAACAAUUAUAGGAAUUCAAUAUCAUAGCCCUCUCUAACAAACCACGCUUUAAACAACAUAUAAAUUCUGCGUAAAAAGAUACCACACCCUACAAUAAUGAGAUAAGACAUUAACAAACUAGCUGUCGAUAACACACUCUAACUAGUAGCUGCUAUAUUCAGACACACCUAAUCAGAUAUGUAUAUACGUUUCCCUGUUACUUCUCUGGGUGCAACCACUGAGUUUCUGUUAACAACUUUCUUUGCACAUAAAUUCAACUUAUUUUUUGUGGAUUUGAUAUCACAAAUUUUAUCUAUGGAUAUGAUGAUGUAAAUUGUUUUAAAAAUACAGCACAAAAAAUAUCCAAUGAUAUUCUCUAAGGGCAUGUUUUUUCUACCACAAAUGAAUAAUACAAACAUUAAUUUGAUGCUUCAAUUCGUGAUGCCCAUGGCUAUACAAACGAUAGAUAGGUAUUUAACAAGGGCGUCUGCGUUUUACUGCGUACAUUAAAUUAUUGGGCGGAGCCUACUUUCGAGCUAUGCUAGGUGGAGCUGUACAUUUACAUCUGACUGACCUACAUUCACCUACACUUUGCACUGAAGUGUCAGGGGUCGUGAUUAGUGACAAGUAGGAUUAAGUCACAAAAAAUUAUCUAUACUUUUAUAAAAUUUAUUUCAUAUUUAAUGGCCAUCAUGUUUAAGUUUAUGGACACACAUAUAAUUAUUAUGUAGGCACGGCAUCCAGAGAUUCUAUGUUGCAGACUGACAUUCUUAUCAUGUUCGGAAUGUGUUUUGUGGUAUUAUUUAACUUCAUUCUACAGAAUUUCUGAAGACAAGGUAUAAAAUCCAAAAUUGCAAGAAACUGAACAUGUCUUACCUAUCCUGGUUUUUGAAGACAAAUUUUCGUAGCUUAAGAUCUCGAAGAACCACCCCAUUCUCGUGACAAUGCAACACAGCUGCGACUAUUUGCUCCAUCAGAUGUGAUGCCUCCUCUUCUCGUAAUUUUUUCUUUUGUCUCACAUACGAAUGCAAGUCUCCAUAAUGACGCUCAAAUAUGACAUAGGCUUUCGUUUCCCCCAGAAUGAUCUCGGAAAUCGAACUUAUGUUGUUAUGGUCAUCCACUUGCCAGUAUGGAGCAAGAUGGUCUCUAUAGGUGUUGACAGGAAACACCUGCAAUCAUAAAAAUAAGGAUAAAAUGACUGAGGGACAUAGUCAUCUUAUUCUGGGGAACCUAAUAUUUAUAUCCAGUUUAGAGCCUUAAAAUAGUUCAAUACUGCUUCAGAUACAGUCGCAAGAUACAGAGAUUGCUUAAUGGCAAGGGAUGAUGGGCUUUGCAUGACUAAAAAUAGUUUCACAUUCUAUUGAAGCAACAUGAUCAUGAAUGAUAUAACACUCUGAACACAAGUAAGUGAUUUCCUGUUGAUGCAACACUGCCAGGCUUUAAUAACAGACGCAAAAUGAAUUGCUAUACUGAUUAUGACUAACAAUGAUUUCAUGAGUUUUGUUCAUCCAGCAGCUGUCCAAUACCUUAAUUCAGUGAUGUCAUUGUAAACAUGGUCAUAUCAACUAUCAAAGCGGUUCAGGUUUGCACUGUACCUAAACAGCAAGUUCAACUGUAUUGAAAUUUUUAAAUGCACACCAACUGUCAUACGCUAUCAGGUAACCCAGUUCAGGCAAGGUAUGACUCACUCAAAAACCUACACAUUUUCAAAUGAAACAAAAACUUUAAAAUAUACAUGUACUGCAAUCAAGACCAAUGAAAUUUCCCCCCAAAACAUUUACAUUUUUGUGAGGCACUUUGUAACACAGUGAAAUACGAUGUACUUGUAGAUAUUAGCAAUUUUAAAUGUAUUUAUUAUAACAAUACCUUGCAUAUGUAUUCUUCAUAAGUCUGCCAGUUUACAGCCCUGAAAGUUUCCCCUUCCUGUUGGUCAAAAAGUAUGUAUCUUCCAAUUUUCGACACAUUUUGAGCACUGGAUUUCUUCGGAAAUUCUGGUGCUGGUAGCUGCACAUCUGGACUAAGUGUAGAGUUUAAGUUGGGUUGUUGAAUUUCAAAUAUAUCUUCUUUCUUUUUGUGCCCAUGCUUCGUGAUUUGUAGCCUGGGCCUUAUCCGCGUAAUACUCAUAAAGAAGGUUGAUCCCCUCCUUUGCAGUCGAGCUUUCAAAAAUCCGAACCUUCCUUCCCAGCUUUUUCACUCCAGUUUCGAUUAAAUGACCUAUUUUGAAAUAUCUCUUUGAAACACACUAAUUUAAAAAACAAAUAAUGAAAUAUUGAAAAUGUAUAUCACAAGAAGUCGUUAUCACAGAUACACAAUCGUUCAACGAACAAUGAAAUCUCGUGCAAGAGUUCCGUAUCACAGAUUCAAAUAAAAUGGUCCGAUAUAAGGAAUUUACAAUAUUGUAACUGGUCCGUUGCGAGGAAAACUAUUUUGUGCCCUUACCCAAAUUCUAUCUUAGGUGUGCAAUUACUUUGCAAUCACAGAAGUUUCACUGUAUGAUGAAAUAAAUUGCGUACUAGGAAUCACACUGGUCGGUCGAUAAUGCCGGAAAAUUGCGAUUUUCUUCUGUUAUCCGCUAGGCCUAGUAAAUUGUUAAAAACUUCUUCACACCGUUCUUCCUUGCUUCAAGAUACACCAACAAUAUUUUCUUUCACUUGGGAAGGGCACACUUUCCCCCCUCCCGUUUAGAGACUCUCGAAUAUACUACGUCUAUCGUUCUCCAUUGUGCUGUU